rnacentral:rRNA from 1 species
CGCGUAGGCGGUCGAGUAAGUCGGUUGUGAAAGCCCCUGGCUUAACCAGGGAAGUGCAGCCGAAACUGCCUGACUAGAGGCCGGGAGAGGAGAGUGGAAUUCCCAGUAUAGCGGUGAAAUGCGUAGAUAUUGGGAGGAACACCUGUGGCGAAGGCGGCUCUCUGGACCGGUUCUGACGCUGAAGCGCGAAAGCUAGGGGAGCAAACA